rnacentral:rRNA from 1 species
CAUGGAGGGUGAGAAUCCCGUCCGGUUGAUCAUUGCGUUUUACGAUACGCUUUCUAAGAGUCAAGUUGUUUGGGAUUGCAGCUUAAAAUGGGAGGUAAAUUUCUCCUAAGGCUAAAUAACGGCGAGAGACCGAUAGCGAACAAGUACCGUGAGGGAAAGAUGAAAAGAGCUUUGAAAAGAGAGUUAAACAGUACGUGAAAUUGUUGAAAGGGAAACGAUUGAAGCCAGUCGUACUCAUGGGUAAUCAACCUUUCUGGCGCGAUUAUAUGGGCGUGUUGGAGCCUAACCGGUCCUCGCGUUUUUAUAUUCGUUCCCCUUGGGUGUACUUGCCCGUGUGUAGGUUAACAUCAAUUUCGGACGUCAUAAAAUGACGGGAGGAAUGUAGCUUCGGUCUCGUACUGAAGUGUUAUAGCCUCUGGUAGAUGUGACGUUUGGGAUUGAGGAUUGCAACGAACCCUUCGGGGCUACCUGUCUGAUCUCUGAGAGUUGCUCUGGUGCUGAAAGCUUGCUUAUGGUAUCAAAGUUGACGUUCAAUAGGUUAGAACGGGAUAAGUUCGUUAAGGAUGUUGACGUAAUGG